UGGGGAAUAUUGGACAAUGGGCGAAAGCCUGAUCCAGCCAUGCCGCGUGUGUGAAGAAGGUCUUCGGAUUGUAAAGCACUUUAAGUUGGGAGGAAGGGCAGUAAGCGAAUACCUUGCUGUUUUGACGUUACCGACAGAAUAAGCACCGGCUAACUCUGUGCCAGCAGCCGCGGUAAUACAGAGGGUGCAAGCGUUAAUCGGAAUUACUGGGCGUAAAGCGCGCGUAGGUGGUUCGUUAAGUUGAAUGUAAAAGCCCCGGGCUCAACCUGGGAACUGCAUCCAAAACUGGCGAGCUAGAGUAGGGCAGAGGGUGGUGGAAUUUCCUGUGUAGUGGUGAAAUGCGUAGAUAUAGGAAGGAACACCAGUGGCGAAGGCGACCACCUGGGCUCAUACUGACACUGAGGUGCGAAAGCGUGGGGAGCAAACAGG
rnacentral:rRNA from 1 species